GUUUUCUCUGCCAUGACACUGAACUGUCAGAACAUUGCACAAAACCCGUUAUUCGGGCCAAGUGGUGCUAUUUUGCCUUGUAUAUUGACACAGGUGUGACUGAGUUUUAGGCUUUUGAAAACUGAAAAUCAAAUAAUGAGAGAGAAUACAGCAUAACAUCAAUAGAGUGCAUAAUGUUUUGGGUCUGGGGCUACAUUACUUCUGUUUCUUUACAUGCCCUCUCUUUCUUCUCCCAGAAAUUAUUUCCUACCAAAAUUUUUGGACUCUGACUUUUUUUCCAUUUUUUUUCAGAUUCCUGACAAAAUGGCCAGUGGUAGUUCUGUGUAGGUGUGUGGAUGCACAUGUCAUGUAUGGAUUUCACUUAGGGUGCAGAUGCAGAAGAUGGAAGGACAGCAGUAAUAAGACUUUCCAUCUCUUCCCUUAUUUAUUUAUCAGUGCCACACGGUACCAUCCUGUGUAGUAUUAGUUGAAUAUAAAGGUUUAUUUGUUAACAGGCUUUUCUGGUUGGGUCUGUGAUAGAUAAAGAUAGAAAGUGAAAUUUGAGUAUAUGGAUAUAGAUAGUUUUAAAAUUUUCUAAUGUUAUUCAUUCAAAACUAUAGAUCUACCUGUGUGGCUGGACCUACUAUGUUCAGCUACAGCACCCUGGUCUAGAAGUCCACCUUCCUGGCCAUGCACCCUGCCAGCUGGGGAUCUAGAAACAGCCAGGGAAGACUGUGGUACUGAUCAUGAUGCACUUAGGUUCCACCUUCAGCUCUUCUGCCUGAAAUGUGUCCUCAGGCCUUGCCUCAAGGCCUGCAGCACCCCAUGUCUUCCUGCAUUUUUUCCAUAAGCCAACUGUCCUGCUAUGCAUGUUUCUACUCCUGUGCUAACUUGGUGUCACUGGCCCCUUAUCCUUAAACAGAUGAUACUUCAUCAAGUUAAGCAAUCCCACCAGCUGAUCAGCCUGGAGUGAGAAGAAGGUCCACAUGCUACUUUCAAUAACAGAGAAAAGACCAUUUUUGCAAAUGCCAAACAGAGCACACUUUCCAGGCCAGCAUGAAUUAAGAGCCUUGUCCCCUGUUUUAACCAGGGAAUCUGUGGAGACAGAAGGCAGAUUUCAGUUGUGCAUUUGCAGCAUAGAGUAAGGGCAUACAAUCUCUCAAGAUGGAGCAGGCUGACUUCAUCUGGCCAUGGAUGAUAACUCCUGAAACAUGGGUAGAAGAACAAAGUACUAUUGCUAUGAGAGGCAAUGAGAAACAGUUUUCUGUUUUCAACAAUCUCCAGGAGAAUAAGGUGGAAGGUUGGUAACAGCAUGUAUUUCCCAGCAAUAGAGACAAAACAGAAAAUAUGUAAUCUCAGAAUCUUGUAGGAAUACCACAGGAGACUCCUUCCAUCCCCCUACCUACCCUUUAUUAGACUGCAGGCUGCAGCAGAUGCCAGUGCAAAUACAGUCUACAGAGACUUUAAUAUGUGGUGCAGGUUAGGGUCAUGUGCUCAAUCACUGGGAUAUGAUUACAGACAGGAACUGAAACCAAAGGAGGUCCUGAAAUGCUGGUAGGGCUCCUAGGGUUAUUGUUCCUCAAGGUGCUCAAUGCGGAGGGUAGUUGAGGUGUGUCUGGACAGCUUGGAGGUGUCCUCUGAGCUCAUGAUGCCGAUUGAGACUUGACUGGCAGUCUGAAGGUAGACCUUGGGAAAGUGCAAGUAGGCAAAUGUAAACCAAAGCAUUCUGAUGGAGAAGAGCAGGGAACCAAUGCAUUUUGGUUUUGACUAAAUGCAAAACAGCAUUUCUUAGAAACAGUGAAAAUGUUAGUGCCUUCACCUUUUUCCUGAAAACUUCUUUUUAUGUUUUCAGCCACUUGUGUGAAUUAGUUUUGAUAUGCAUAAUACAGUAAAAUUUUCAACAUUUAAGUUCCUGGAUAUUUCAAGUCAGCACAAAGCUGGCACAUCAGUAUGACCUGAACUUCAAACACCAGAUAAUACUGAAGUAUGGAGUUGUGUUUCAUUUACUGUGCAGUUGGUAUUACAGAUUGAUCAAAAAGCAUUGCACAAGUACAUAAUCUCUGAAUUUUGUCAGUUUGAAAUUUAGUCACCUAAGGAAAAAAAUACUUCAAGUAGAUAAUCAUAUUUAAUCACCACCACAGCAAAGCAGAUGACCAGUGAAGGAGAGCAACAUUUUACUGAGUUUUGAGCAUGUGGAAAAAAAACCAAAAAACAACCUAUGGCUGUCACAGAUGAAUGUGUCUUACAAACAGGUAAUUAUUCAUAAUGAGUGACAUAAUGAUUUCUCUCAUUUUCUUUGGUAAAUUACUUCAAGACAUCAGUGAUGACAGAUUACAGACAAAUCCAUAAGCAAAGAGCACAAUGGAAUGCUCACCCUGUUCAGCAGGUGGGUGUUUGAGCUGUAUUAUAGCAAUGUCUUCUAAGUUUUGCAAUUUAGUAGACAUACUCUUGGAGCUUUCCAGCACUUUGAAAUACAUUUAUUUUCUCUAAGAGCUGUCAUUUCUGGAAGGAAUUACUUUAAAGAUUUAAUUGUGUAUCUUAACUGUUUGCACAAGAACCUGAAAGGCUAAAGGCUAAAAACUGAGCUACUAUAGAUAGAAAAUUAAAAACAUCCACCCAAAUAUAUGGAGCUUAUCUUCAAACAUAAAGAUGAGAGGAGUUUAGCACUCAUAGCUACAACAGUAGCCGUUAGUAAGCAUCUGCUUUUUCUUUUGUACUUUUUUUUCUGAUGAGAAACUGCCCAUCUUAGUGUUGAUUGUGUCAAUAAAUAUCAGACUAGUUACUGUAUGCA
ensembl:lncRNA